rnacentral:sRNA from 20 species
CCCGUGCAGUUCAUCGAGCAUGAAUAGGAUAAGCAGGAAAGCGACAAUCAGACUUGGGAGUGAUGCCCCGCCUUAAAUUAUGAUUCGAAACCGAAAAUUGAUUAGUACCAUGCCUAUAAGGUGGCAAUCAAAGUAGGGAGUAGCUAUGGACCACAGCAUAGAGCUUCUGUGGUG